GACGAACGCUGGCGGCGUGCUUAACACAUGCAAGUCGAACGGAAAGGCCCUGCUUUUGUGGGUUGCUCGAGUGGCGAACGGGUGAGUAACACGUGAGUAACCUGCCCUUGACUUUGGGAUAACUUCAGGAAACUGGGGCUAAUACCGGAUAUGAGCUCCUGCUGCAUGGUGGGGGUUGGAAAGUUUCGGCGGUUGGGGCUGGACUCGCGGGUUAUCAGCUUGUUGGUGGGGUAGUGGCUUACCAAGGCUUUGACGGGUAGCCGGCCUUAGAGGGUGACCGGGGACAUGGGGACUGAGAUACGGAGCAGAAGGCUAUGGGAGGCAGCAGUGGGGAAUAUUGCGCAAUGGGGGGGAGCCUGAGGCAGAAACGCUGCGUGCGGGAUGACGGCCUUCGGGUUGUAAACAGCUUUGGAAUGUGACGAAGAGUGAGUGACGGUAAUGGGUAAAGAAGCACCGGCUAACUACGUG
rnacentral:rRNA from 1 species